AGGGUAAUAGUUAAUUAUAACAUUUAAUUUGCAUUUAAAAAGUAUUGAAAUUUUAAAUUCAAUUUACCUUA
rnacentral:tRNA from 1 species